GCAAAUUCGUGCAGAAAGGAAAAGACAACAUUGAUUUGGAAAAGGCCUCUGAGUAUAUAGGCCGACAUAAGCAAAAUAUAGAAAAAACUCGUCCUUAUCAGUCAUUGGCCAAGACUGCACGGGGAAUUGACAUGGAAAUCACCAAGAAGCACUCCAUCUACAGGCCCCCAUCUAAACUCACCAAACGGUCAGAAUUACUACGGACGGAGGGGAUUAAACCCGACGAUAAAACAUCGGGAGUUGUUGUGUCGAAGGAGUCCCAGUGGAGUC